rnacentral:lncRNA from 1 species
CAUUGGCACUUAUACCACCACAUCUUCUUAUAUCUAUUUUCCUGAAAUGUAAGGUCACCAUCAACAGCCAAGUAAAGCUCAAAUGAUUCACGCCAUUAUUCCGACAGCCCAUUAGUCCGACAACCCAUUAGUCCGACAACCCAAUAUUCCAACACUCUUUUAGAAGGGCGGUAUAAUGAUUGGGUCAACAUUGAGACAUUACAAUACAAGUAUAAUGUAAUUAUCAUUAUAUCAC